CCUACGGGGUGCAGCAGUCGAGAAUCAUUCACAAUGGGGGAAACCCUGAUGGUGCGACGCCGCGUGGGGGAAUGAAGGUCUUCGGAUUGUAAGCCCCUGUCAUGUGGGAGCAAAUUAAAAAGAUAGUACCACAAGAGGAAGAGACGGCUAACUCUGUGCCAGCAGCCGCGGUAAUACAGCGGUCUCAAGCGUUGUUCGGAAUCACUGGGCGUAAAGUGUGCGUAGGCUGUUUCGUAAGUCGUGUGUGAAAGGCGCGGGCUCAACCCGCGGACGGCACAUGAUACUGCGAGACUAGAGUAAUGGAGGGGGAACCGGAAUUCUCGGUGUAGCAGUGAAAUGCGUAGAUAUCGAGAGGAACACUCGUGGCGAAGGCGGGUUCCUGGACAUUAACUGACGCUGAGGCACGAAGGCCAGGGGAGCGAAAGGGAUUAGAUACCCCGGUAGUC
rnacentral:rRNA from 1 species